GACGAACGCUGGCGGCGUGCUUAACACAUGCAAGUCGAACGGAAAGGCCCUGCUUUUGUGGGGUGCUCGAGUGGCGAACGGGUGAGUAACACGUGAGUAACCUGCCCUUGACUUUGGGAUAACUUCAGGAAACUGGGGCUAAUACCGGAUAGGAGCUCCUGCUGCAUGGUGGGGGUUGGAAAGUUUCGGCGGUUGGGGAUGGACUCGCGGCUUAUCAGCUUGUUGGUGGGGUAGUGGCUUACCAAGGCUUUGACGGGUAGCCGGCCUGAGAGGGUGACCGGCCACAUUGGGACUGCGAGACGGACCAGACUCCUACGGGAGGCAGCAGUGGGGAAUAUUGCACAAUGGGCGGAAGCCUGAUGCAGCAACGCCGCGUGCGGGAUGACGGCCUUCGGGUUGUAAACCGCUUUCGCCUGUGACGAAGCGUGAGUGACGGUAAUGGGUAAAGAAGCACCGGCUAACUACGUG
rnacentral:rRNA from 1 species